rnacentral:rRNA from 1 species
AGUGAACGCUGGCGGUAGGCCUAACACAUGCAAGUCGAACGGCAGCACAGUAAGAGCUUGCUCUUACGGGUGGCGAGUGGCGGACGGGUGAGGAAUACAUCGGAAUCUACUUUUUCGUGGGGGAUAACGUAGGGAAACUUACGCUAAUACCGCAUACGACCUACGGGUGAAAGCAGGGGAUCUUCGGACCUUGCGCGAUUGAAUGAGCCGAUGUCGGAUUAGCUAGUUGGCGGGGUAAAGGCCCACCAAGGCGACGAUCCGUAGCUGGUCUGAGAGGAUGAUCGGCCACACUGGAACUGAGACACGGUCCAGACUCCUACGGGAGGCAGCAGUGGGGAAUAUUGGGCAAUGGGCGAAAGCCUGAUCCAGCCAUACCGCGUGGGUGAAGAAGGCCUUCGGGUUGUAAAGCCCUUUUGUUGGGAAAGAAAAGCAGCAGGUUAAUACCCCGCUGUUCUGACGGUACCCAAAGAAUAAGCGCCGGCUAACUUCGUG